CGGAACGUAGCGCAGCCUGGUAGCGCACUUGAUUUGGGAUCAAGGGGUCGCGAGUUCGAACCUCGCCGUUCCGACCA
rnacentral:tRNA from 5 species